rnacentral:rRNA from 1 species
GCGGCGUGCCUAACACAUGCAAGUCGAACGCGAAAGCUCCUUCGGGAGUGAGUAGAGUGGCGCACGGGUGAGUAACGCGUGGGUAAUCUACCUCAAGAUUUGGGAUAACUUCGCGAAAGUGAAGCUAAUACCGAAUAGUCUGGCUAUCGAAAGGUUGUCGGUAAAGGGUGCCUCUUCUUGAAAGCAUCUGUCUUGAGAUGAGCCCGCGUAUCAUUAGCUAGUUGGUAGGGUAAUGGCCUACCAAGGCAACGAUGAUUAGCUGGUCUGAGAGGAUGAUCAGCCACACUGGGACUGGAACACGGCCCAGACUCCUACGGGAGGCAGCAGUGGGGAAUAUUGCGCAAUGGGCGAAAGCCUGACGCAGCAACGCCGUGUGGGGGAUGAAGGCUUUCGGGUCGUAAACCCCUGUCAGAAGGGAAGAAAUGGUAAGGGUCCAAUAGGCCUAUAUUUUGACGGUACCUUCAGAGGAAGCACCGGCUAACUCCGUGCCAGAAACCGCGGUAAUACGGAGGGUGCAAGCGUUAUUCGGAAUCACUGGGCGUAAAGCGCGCGUAGGCGGCCCUGUAAGUCAGAUGUGAAAUCCCAAGGAUCAACCGUGAAACUGCAUAUGACAAUGCAAGGAUUGAAUCCUGGA